CGCCCAUUAAUUUUAGUGUUUCACCCGCCGCCCGACACGGUCACACCGCUCGAGAAGUAGAGAAAAAAAGAAGGCGACGAAUCAAAGGCAGCAAGCGAAAUCGACGCCGCACGUACCGGGAGCAUUUAAAUAAUUUUUUCUGUGGAUUAAUUUAACCGAAAAGGCUUCAACACAAUGACUGAGCGCGAGAAUAAUGUGUACAAGGCAAAGCUGGCCGAACAGGCCGAGCGCUACGACGAAAUGGUGGAGGCCAUGAAGAAGGUCGCCUCCAUGGACGUAGAGCUGACCGUCGAGGAGCGAAAUCUGCUGUCGGUGGCGUACAAGAAUGUGAUCGGAGCACGCCGAGCCUCGUGGCGCAUCAUCACCUCGAUCGAACAGAAGGAGGAGAACAAAGGGGCCGAGGAGAAACUGGAGAUGAUCAAAACCUACCGCGGACAGGUGGAGAAGGAGCUGCGCGACAUCUGCUCGGAUAUACUGAACGUGCUCGAGAAGCAUCUCAUUCCAUGCGCCACAUCCGGCGAAAGCAAAGUAUUCUACUAUAAGAUGAAGGGCGACUACCAUCGCUACCUGGCCGAGUUCGCCACCGGCUCGGACCGCAAGGAUGCGGCGGAGAACUCCCUGAUUGCCUACAAGGCAGCCAGCGAUAUUGCCAUGAACGAUCUGCCCCCAACACACCCCAUCCGCUUGGGCUUGGCAUUGAACUUCUCGGUGUUCUACUAUGAGAUUCUCAACUCGCCGGACCGCGCUUGCCGCUUGGCGAAAGCCGCUUUCGAUGAUGCGAUUGCCGAGUUGGAUACGCUGAGUGAAGAGAGCUACAAAGACUCGACACUCAUCAUGCAGCUGCUGCGCGACAACCUCACAUUAUGGACGUCCGAUAUGCAGGCAGAAGAAGUAGACCCCAACGCAGGUGAUGGCGAGCCCAAAGAGCAAAUCCAGGAUGUUGAGGAUCAGGACGUGUCGUAAUUUAAGUAAACCCCCGCCCUUCCAUUUAAAACACAUUAUAUACCUUCUAAACAACUUCGAGAACAACAACAUGGAACCAACACGGCAAUAACAACAUCUCAACGCCAUCGACGAACGACAACCAUAGCAGCCGAUUACAAAAGUAACAACAGCAACAGCAGCAUCAGCAUAUAUGCAGCAUUAAAUCAGCAAGAAAGCCAGCAGCAACAAUUUGUCAUCAACAAUAAACAGCAUGGAAAACAACAGCACAAAAACAGAAAAAACAAAACAAACAAAAUGUUUGAAAAUUGGGCGGCCUGGUGGGCGUGGUGCGGCUGUUGCUGCGGAACAGAAUCGCAACGUAAAGAAUUCGCGGUACUAUUAAGUUGUCGCUUCGCCAUUUGGCUCUCCUUCACGUUAGAAAACUGCAACAUCAACUCUACUACAUUUGAAUUUUUUGCAUUCGAGAAACCAAGCAUUAUAUUAUAUUUAAAUAAAUAUUAUAUUUAAUUAUGAGAAGCAAAAACAAAACAAAUAAACUUCAUUUAAACCACAAGAGACAACACAAGCAGGAAAAGAACGAAAAUCGAGAAACAAUCACACGAGUAAAUCACAAAGCAAAUUUCAUCGAGUUGGCAUGCAUUAAUUUUUAAAACAAACUUUAAAUACGACAGCAACACGUAAAAUACAACUUUAAUUUUAAGCCAAUAAUAAACGUGAGAACGAGGAAAUAAAAACGAAAAACGAUUUAAUAAGCGCAAACGUAAAAGUAAAACAUAAAGUCGAAAAUGUAAGGAAAAAAUACAGCAAUUAAUUUAAAUUUAAUACAUGAAUAAAACAUAAAUGGAGUAAACGAAACGAAAUGAGCAAACAGAAUGAAAGACGCAAAAGCUAAAAACUAUAUUAAAUGAGAAAAAGGAAUGUUAGUUAAGCGAAA